rnacentral:rRNA from 1 species
GACGAACGCUGGCGGCGUGCUUAACACAUGCAAGUCACGGGGGCUCGGCAACGAGCAACCGGCGAACGGGUGCGUAACACGUGACCAACCUGCCCUCGUGUGGGGGAUAGCCGGGCUAACGCCCGGGUAAUACCGCAUACGGUCCUUUGGGGGAGUCCCUGGGGAAGAAAGCCCGUGGCAACACGGGUGCACGGGGAGGGGUCGC